rnacentral:tRNA from 1 species
GGCAGACGCACUCAGUCGGUACAGCACGAGACUCUUAAUCUUAGGGUCGUGGGUUUGAGCCCCACGCUGGCCA